rnacentral:lncRNA from 10 species
ACUUGGACGCCGCGGGCUCUGAGGCCGGAGCUGCAGCCGCUGCGCCUCGAGCUCCCCGCGCCCUGACGCGGUCCACCCAGGCUCAGCUCCCUUGCGCGCCCCGUCUUCGCCUAUUUCCCGCAACUUUACAAAAAAAAAAAAAAAAGGACGACCUCCCCGCUUUGGUGAGGCGGUCUGGGUUUAGAGACGCACCUCCGGGGAAAUCUGCUAUCUUUCUGCCCCCUCUAGAGCGGGGCCAGAAGCUUCGAGGACCGGGAGGGAGAAUUUGGCCGCGCCCCCCAGCUCAGGUGCGCGGCGGGCCAGAGAUUCCUAGUCGAGGGUCCUGGGAGGUAGACGCGUGUUCCAAGACCCCACCCUUCCAAGAGCUCCUUAAUGGAUUCAGUGGGCACUAGGGCCCCGGGAGAAAAGGGGCGGAGAUUCCCGUUCCCAUUUCUCAGGUGAGGAAACUGAUCCGAGAAAGGAUAUUUUAUCUCUCAGGCAGGCAUCAGCCUCAACUCUUGAGUCCCGGGGCUAAAACGACUACGUACAUUUGGUGCCCUGAGACCAUGGCCUACGCACUCAAAACCCGAAACAAUGCUUGGAACAGCAGCGCUCAAUAGACCACACGAAGUGACCCCUCCCCAGACAUCGUGGACACCUGCUCCCAACCAGUUCCUUCCGAAUGCUGAGAAGUGGUCUCCCUUAACUACUAUGCCAAGAAAUGGCUCCCUUGGGGAGGCGUUUAGUCUCUCUCCUCCUUGCCAGCAGUCCUUUUAAUGCCCCCCUCCAAACAAACAUCCCAUGUGAGUAAAAGUAAGGUGCUUGCUAUGGAAACCGUUUUAAGACGCCCAUCACCCCCAGAAGAUCACUUCCAAACUGCUUAAAGAUAGGUAUGCUGGGCCUCAGUGUGAAUGUCAGGCACUGUGUUGGGCACUGACCGUGCAAGGAAAAAGGAAGCAAAAGCCCAGGUGUAGGAUCUCCAAGCAUUUAACUCACCUCCAUCUACCUUUUCUGGGGAAGCUGAGGCACAGACUGUGAGGGAGGACCUGCUCCCUGGGAGUCAGCAGCAGGUCUCAGAGGGUUAGGAUCCAUGAAGUCAAACUCUAUUCCACAGAUCUCCUGAAGCCUAACGCCAGUACAGAGUCAGGUCAUGCACGCCCCACAAAAAGCUUUAUGCUGGGGUCCAUGGCAGAGGGUGGGUAGUAAUUCUACUUUAGGGAACUGCUGACUAUUACCCACUUUUUUUUCAGACUUAUGCCUCCACCCCCACCCCCAACUCAGGCGGGAGGCCAGGGAUCCACAGGCUGCAAUGGAGGAAGGCCAGGUGGUCCCAGUGGUGAUGGCUUCCUCAGGGAAGGGGUGUUGACUUGUCUGGCCCAGUUUAGGGGGUGGAUCUUGGAGUUUUCCCUUGCUGGAAAUUAACACCUUGGGAGGGAGACCUAGACUGUCACCUAUCCAACCCAUAUGGGAGCCACAGAGGAAAAGGACAGAAUUGUCCACACAGAAAGUGUUACAGAAACAGAAAAUGUCAUGUGCAAGCCAUCCACAAAGAACUCUCCACCACAGAUGCCAAUGAGACAAGCGGGGGACAUCCAGGAAGGAUGGGGUGAGGAUCUCUGCCCUUGGGUGAGACUGUCCCCACCACAGCCCCCUUCCCCAAGAAGAAGGGAAGCUUGGUUCACUAUUCUCCCACCUCUGCCUACCUCAAAAAGGAGAAUUGAAGUCUCACCUUGCUAUUAAACUUUUUGCUGAGUUUUUUGAACCAAUCAGCCUUCAAGUCAGGAAGAAGCUCCUUCAGUCUCCAGCACCGCUGGGGGAGAUGGCCCCUGCAUCACCAGCCUUGUCUUCUAGGGAGGGGUGCGUCCACCCGGGACCCUGGAGUGUGCUCUCCUGGAUCCUGCUGAUAAUACCCAUGGCUGGUAUUUGUGCAGCCCUUACCCUGAGCAGGGCAUUGUGCUAAACAGUUAAGGCCCUGCUGACCAAUGCCAUCUAACACUGGCAGUUCCCUCUGACACCCCAAGACUCCUCUCCAGAUUUCCAGAGCUUUGCAUGUACCAUUCCCUCUGCCAAGAUAGGCCUCAUCAAGCUCACCUCAUGAACUCCUCAUGGAAGACCAGGAGCACAUAUCACCUGGGAACCAUCUCAGACUGCCACUUCCAGCCUGAGUUUGGGCCAUACCUACAGGGCCACCACUAGCCUUUGUGCAAAUCAGAAAAAGGUACCCACUUUUGGCAGAUACAGGAAACCAUGAAGGAGGUCACAGACUGCCUUUCAGCUUCCUAGCUCCCUUUGCUAGGUGCCUUUUUGCAGUGCAUGCACAGGACAGAUGUACUCUGUGGCCUGGCUUUGGGUCCUUCAUCUGGCUUUGGGACCCCUCCUAUGGCCACAGUGACCACAAUGCACAGAAAUAGCUUUUAUUUGCUCAUCUCACUACUUGUCCCCUCGCCACCACCUCCCGCCAUGAAAAUUCUUUGAAGGUAAGGAGGAGUCCCCUACCUGCCUUGGGCCCGAAGCUUGGCCUCCAAAGAGGUACCAGUAAUAACAAUUGUAGCCAGAAUCUUUCUGAGCUCUUGCUUGUCAGGGACCAUGCUAAUUGCUUUUUGAACAUAGGCUUAUUAAAUCCACAGGCUUGGACACCUGUGUGAGGUUACAAAGUAGCAAAACCAGGAUUUCAAUCCAUGCCUUGUCUGAGGCAUUUUCCAUGACUGCCAUUUAUCUGCUAAUAUCUGUCAUUGAUUAAACAUCCAGUGACUGGAAAUGGCCACAUGGAGAGGAGUGUGGGAGUUAGGAUCUCCAAUAAAGAUGGCCAAUUUGGAACUCAGUCUAAGGUUUACCCUUCUUUGGGCCCCAGUUCUGUCACCUGUAUCACAAAGGAUGGGAGCAAAGGCAUUUGAAACCCUGCCUGCUGGGGCAGGGCACAGGAUAGUGUUCAGUGGGGUCAUGCUGGACUGUGACCUCAGCCAAAAUCCCAGGGCAGGCCUGGGGGUGCAAACACGGGCAGAGGCAGGGAGGAGCCUAACCGCACCAGACUGUGGCCCCGGGCCUUUGGGUCUGGGCCCUCACGCACUGACCACUGGACUUUAGGUCCUCCCCACCCCACCCCCAUGACGUCUGAAGGAGCAGAGAGCUGUGAAAUGAAAAUUCAAAAAGCCAAGUCUCUCAAGUAACCCAGGCUUGCCCAUUCCUGAGAAGUCAGUUUGGUGGCCAAUGCCUGGCCUUGACCUGUGUAAACAGAGGGGAAGGGAUGAGGACAGAAGGAAGACUCCAGUCCCAGAACAAAAUGACUCUGGGGACAGAGGCUGAGAGAAAGCAGGAAGCAAGCUAUAUUUCCCAUUGCCCAGGCACAGCUACAUACACGCCAUAGACAACCAGAUACAGCCCUGUUCUCAGUGAGGCACAGGGAACUCAGCCUGUAUAUGGGAUAUUGAUGGGGAGAGGGACAGUUUGGGGGCUGUUGUGCCCCUGACAAUAACCCUUGGCUUCUCUAGACACAAUCAUGGUUCAACUCUGUCCUAUGGGAGUGGGACUGAGUGCUCCCAGAGGCCAAAGCUGUGGCUCCAGCCUCCCUGCCACACUUCAGGAAGAGGGAGGGAG